UUAUUAGAUCACCAGUUUAUUAUAAAAGAAUAUAACUCAGGAACAGCAAGAUGGAAGAAAUGGUAAGGCAAGGUAUGGGGAAGGGGCAAGGAGCUUCCAUGGUCUCCUGGCAUACCACUCUUCUUCCAUCUCCUUGUGUUCACCACCCCAGAAGCUCUCUGAACCCUGUCCUUUUAGGAUUUUAUGGAGGCUUGAUUACAUCGAAUAUUAAUGAAAUCAUUGGCUAUUGGUGACUGAACUCAAUCUCCAGUUCCUCUCCCCUGGAGAUAAGGAAGGAGGAGUUCUAACCCUUUAAUCACAAUGUUGUUUCUCCCUGGCAACCAGCCCCCAUCCUUAAGUUACCUAGGAGUUUUCCAAGUUACCUCAUUAACGUAAGUUCAAAAGACACCUUUUUCAUGCUAAACACUUAGAAAAUUCUAAGGGUGUUAAAUUCCUGUGCCAGGAAUAGGGAUGAAGACCAGAUGUGUAUUUCUUAUAAAACACAAUAUCACAGCCUCAGUGGUUGGAAUACACUUAAAACAUUAAGUAAUUAAAAAUAGGAUAGAAAUUAUGCUCACAGAAAAAGCAAAACUAAUGGAAUAAUAUAUAAACAGUAUUGCAGAAAAAUACCUUCCUGUUUUAGUUCUAGGAUAUUUUGUUUAUAAUACAAAGAUUUAACUUAAACAUGAAAGGUUCCUUGUGAAACCAGUAUUUUCCAGGUCAACAUGGGUAAGAAGUAAUGUAAUCUGGUGUGGAGCAAAAGAUUUAUCAGAAAGUCUGGGUAAAAGCAACUUGUGGACAAAAUAACUUUUUAUGACUUGAAAAUGUGAAAAGUAGAAAAUAUUGAAAGAAUUCACAACUUGUUCAGCAGUAUUUCAUGAACAGAGGCUGAGUAUAUUGGUGCCAUCAAUCCACCACAUGAAACAUGAACACAAAUCCAGCAAGAGAGCUUCCAAGCACCAAGAAAAAUAGUUGCACACAGCUUCCAUUUGUGGGCUAGAGUUUACUGUAAUUUUAAGUUAUUAAUCUUACAAAUUAAAUCAUCUGCUUUCCAGUCUGUUUUUACAAUGCAGCAAGUAAGAGAAACUGACGUUGACUAAUGAACAGAAGUGAUGGCCAAAAAAGAAGAGGAAACCAUAGAGGCAUUUUCAUAUAGGGGCAGGCAUAUUAAUUACUAUGCAUCUGUGUCAUCAAAAAUAGUUAUUUCUCUUUACUGAGAGAAAAUUAAUCAGAGUCCUUUUAGCAUUACAUUAAGAAACAAGCCACAAACUACAAAACGAGUUUCCUUUAAUCUUAAUUGGUCAUGUUUCCACAGUAAAUAUCGGUUGUCCUCAAAGUAUUGUUGGUGUUCUUAUAAUUAAUGACAUAGUGAAAGUACACGGGAAUUAUAAUAUUAGAACCAGGAUAAAACAAACAGGGGGAAAAAGCCUCAUUAUAAUGAUGGAAAAACUAAAGCCCAGAUAAAUGAAAUGAGAUCAGCCCAUGAUCCCUGAAAAAUGGAGAAGUUUUAACUCCAAAAGCUAUUUCCAAAAUUGGUUUGCUACAGAAGAAAAAAAAUGGCAUCCAUGGAAGAUACAUACCAGUUACCAAAUGCCAGAUAAGGUAACCUUGGGUUAAAAGCUUUUAUGAGAGGGAUCUACUUUACAUUUUAAUGUUUUACUCUCAUUUUGCAUGUCCUGUGUUCAAGUUAUACUGUAAUCAUACUGGUAUCUUAUACCAUGAAGUAAAUUUACUGCCAUCAUCUAUAUACUACAAAUACUAAUUUGUAAUCAGAAAAGGGCAGUCUGUAACAAGACAUGAUUUUGAAUUGCUGGCCCUGGGCAAAAUAGUGAACUAGGAAGAAGUAAGUUUUUGAAAUCUACCUACUUCCACCAAAUCUCAUGAUCCCUUGAUAAACAUUUUCCUCUUCCCAGAUGCCUAUCCUUUGCCCAAAACUAGAGGGAGGAAUGCAGAGAAGAGAUAAUUAGUGAGAAAGGUGUGAAAUGAUUAGGCUGACCCAGAACAUAGCUCUUCUGUGUUAAUUCUAGGAUCAGAAGCUAACAUUUGUAGUGUCUACAAUAUAUAAACCAAUGCACUAAGCAAGCACUUGGCAUGUUCUCUGAUUUAAUUCUCACCACCAAUUAACAGAAUAGAUAGGUAUUCCCUGCCCCCACUCCCCACCUUUUUACCAAUGGGAAAAACUGAUUUCUCAACAUUUACAAGUUUAUUAGUCCCCUUUCGUUACCCAUAGCUGUACUAUUCAAAUGUUCUCAGCAUAGUAUCAUAUCAGAGGCUUUACAGGAGGAGGUCUGUGAAAAUGUGCCACCUUUAUGUCCUUGUCUCACUCCUGCAACAGAACACAUAUAGACUAAAAAUAUUGGUGCAUGUUAUCACAUUCAAUAUUCCCAAUUUUUGAAUAUUUAUAUCAGUAGGGAGACUUCAUCUUGCCAAAUAAGACUUAGUAUGAUAAAAACAUGCUUCCGACUAUAAGAUACUAAACCUGCUUCUUAGAUUUGCCAUUUUAAUAAUUUUAAGUCUAGUUUAAAUUUAUCCUCAGUUUAUAAUAAGUGUAUCUCUUGUUGGAGAAAAAAAGUUGGGUCUUACAGGUUUAGCAAUCUUUACGAUACUUAUUUUAUCCACAUUGCCCAAUGGGCCUAGAUAUUUAACAGGGGUACUUCUUAAACCUUAUUCAUAAGACUGAAGUACCAAAUAGAAACUUAGUCUCCUUAUGGUGCCUGCUGAUCGAAUUUUCUCCACUUUUCUAUUGCAAUUCUAGAAUUACAUUAUGAAUUAAAGUCAGAGGCAGAGUUUUUAAAUCAUAGAAACCUACAUGAUUAGUUUUUCCCACCCCAGUAAAGGUGCAACUUUUGUUCCUUCAAAUAUUUAUUGAAUACCAGGUGUAUAUAUUAGGCAUUGAGGACACAAAGGGAUAAAAAUAAAAUUGGAACUUACAGCUCAUGGUUUAGCUAGAGCCCAACAUAUACUUAACUAAUAGUUAUAUUAAUGAUGUGAACAGAAGGACACAAGAAGCAGAUGGAAGAAAUGGUUCUACACCAGCUUUGGGGUAAAGGGGACAGUUGGAAUGCAUAAACUCAGUAAAACACAGAAGAGAUGUUUAAAGUUUCGGAAAAAGAUUUCACAGUGUUGUAUUCCAAGCAGGGAUUUCCCCAGCAAAGGUAAAGACUUUUUAAAGUACACAAAAGAAAUGGCAAGUACUAGCACUCAGUAAAGCUGGAAAUUGGGCACAUUAAUGGAAGAUUGUGAUGGAUGAAGCUGGAAAAGCCAUAUCAUGAAGGCUUUUUGGUGUAAUGCUGAGCGUUUGGCUUCUAUUCUUUAGGAAAACAGUCAUAGAAUAUUUCUAAGCUAAAGAGUAACAAUCAUAUCUGUCUUAGGAAGAUCAAUCUGGUAGUAACAAAGAAUGGACUGGAACAGGCAUAGGGGCAGAGGAGUACAGGCAGCCCAGAACAUUUUGGGAUAUUUUAAGAGUCCUGGUGAGAUGAACAUCUAACAUGGCUGUGAACAUCUACAACAAGUAGACAAAUUAUGAACAUUUCUGGGGUCAACUCAAGAAAAUCUCACAAUACAUUGUAUAUAGAAGAAAAGAGAAACCAGGUAACUUUUGCAAUGACUAGGUAGAGACAUAGUGAUGCCAAUAACCAAAUUAGGAGGGAAAGGAACAGCUAAUGCUUGGGGGCAAGGGAGAAGAGAAGGAUUUAGUUCUGAUUAUAGAGAUCAUUAGAGCUGAAGUGAGAAACCAACACUGACAAGUCAUGGGGUCACGAAGAUAAUUCAGGGACAAAGUGUAGAGACAGAACCUGAGACUGCUUUAAAUAGUGGUGGCUACGGCUGAAGAAGACAUCCAAAGAAA
rnacentral:lncRNA from 1 species